CGUGAACGCUGGCGGUAGGCCUAACACAUGCAAGUCGAACGGCAGCACAGUAAGAGCUUGCUCUUACGGGUGGCGAGUGGCGGACGGGUGAGGAAUACAUCGGAAUCUACUUUUUCGUGGGGGAUAACGUAGGGAAACUUACGCUAAUACCGCAUACGACCUACGGGUGAAAGCAGGGGAUCUUCGGACCUUGCGCGAUUGAAUGAGCCGAUGUCGGAUUAGCUAGUUGGCGGGGUAAAGGCCCUCCAAGGCGACGAUCCGUAGCUGGUCUGAGAGGAUGAUCAGCCACACUGGAACUGAGACACGGUCCAGACUCCUACGGGAGGCAGCAGUGGGGAAUAUUGGACAAUGGGCGCAAGCCUGAUCCAGCCAUACCGCGUGGGUGAAGAAGGCCUUCGGGUUGUAAAGCCCUUUUGUUGGGAAAGAAAAGCAGCAGGUUAAUACCCCGCUGUUCUGACGGUACCCAAAGAAUAAGCACCGGCUAACUUCGUG
rnacentral:rRNA from 1 species